UACCAGCACCCCGAGUGGUCGGGACGUUUAUUGGGCCUAAAGCAUCCGUAGCCGGUUCUACAAGUCUUCCGUUAAAUCCAGCUGCUUAACAGAUGGGCUGCGGAAGAUACUAUGGAGCUAGGAGGCGGGAGAGGCAAGCGGUACUCGAUGGGUAGGGGUAAAAUCCGUUGAUCCAUUGAAGACCACCAGUGGCGAAGGCGGCUUGCCAGAACGCGCUCGACGGUGAGGGAUGAAGCUGGGGAGCAACCGG
rnacentral:rRNA from 1 species